UAAAAGGGCCGGUUGGCUAUAUAUGCCACAUCCAUCCUCGAUUGAUGGGUGCUGUAUGGCUAUCAAGACAUAUGGCCGGCAUAAUUUGUGGAAACUGUUAGGGUUGGCUCGCUUCGGCCGACCCUCCG
rnacentral:snRNA from 1 species